CGUAGGGCGAGCGUUAUCCGGAAUUAUUGGGCGUAAAGCGCGCGCAGGCGGUCAUUUAAGUCAGGUGUGAAAGGCUGCGGCUCAACCGCAGAGCGGCACCUGAAACUGGAUGACUUGAGUGCAGGAGAGGAGAGCGGAAUUCCCGGUGUAGCGGUGGAAUGCGUAGAGAUCGGGAGGAACACCAGUGGCGAAGGCGGCUCUCUGGCCUGUUUCUGACGCUGAGGCGCGAAAGCGUGGGAGCAAACAGGAUU
rnacentral:rRNA from 1 species